AACGCUGGCGGCAGGCCUAACACAUGCAAGUCGAGCGGUAACAGAGAUAGCUUGCUAUCUGCUGACGAGCGGCGGACGGGUGAGUAAUGCUUGGGAAUAUGCCUUUAGGUGGGGGACAACAGUUGGAAACGACUGCUAAUACCGCAUGAUGUCUACGGACCAAAGUGGGGGACCUUCGGGCCUCACGCCUAAAGAUUAGCCCAAGUGGGAUUAGCUAGUUGGUUGAGGUAAAGGCUCACCAAGGCAACGAUCCCUAGCUGGUUUGAGAGGAUGAUCAGCCACACUGGAACUGAGACACGGUCCAGACUCCUACGGGAGGCAGCAGUGGGGAAUAUUGCACAAUGGGCGCAAGCCUGAUGCAGCCAUGCCGCGUGUGUGAAGAAGGCCCUAGGGUUGUAAAGCACUUUCAGCGAGGAGGAAAGGUUAUAGUUUAAUAGACUAUAGCUGUGACGUUACUCGCAGAAGAAGCACCGGCUAACU
rnacentral:rRNA from 1 species